rnacentral:sRNA from 1 species
AAGCUUCUGUACUACACCGAUCAAUAUCAAAACAAGCAUACACUUUUGAAUACUAACCCAAAAUGAAUAUAAUCUCCGUCAUUUUAUUUUUCACCACAAUCGUCCUUGUUGUCAAUGGGCAAUGCCGCAAUGCGCCAGCGCAACCCAAUUGUGGAGACCGACUAAACACUGGACAUGGUGGCCAUGGUUGCCACAGGGGUGCAAGAUGGUGGUACGACCGAUCCUCGAAUUCUUGCAAGGAAUUCUCAUAUCAUGGCUGUGGUGGCAAUCAGAAUCGUUGGUGCUCCAAGGCAGCCUGUGAAAAUCGUUGCAGACGUCAUUAAAAUGAAAUUGCAGCAUUUUGGAAUAAGGGUCAAAAUAAAUCCUCUAAUUUGAAUAAACGCUAAUCUAACUAAAA